UGCGUAGGCUGAUAUAUAAGUCAGUUGUGAAAACCAUGGGCUCACCUCAUGGCCUGCAAAUUGAAACUGUAUAUCUGGAGUCUGGGAGAGGCAAGCGGAAUUCCUGGUGUAGCGGUGAAAUGCGUAGAUAUCAGGAGGAACACCGAUGGCGAAGGCAGCUUGCUGGCCUGAGACUGACGCUGAGGCACGAAAGUGUGGGUAGUGAAC
rnacentral:rRNA from 1 species